rnacentral:misc_RNA from 1 species
UUGAAUCGGUUUCACCGGCAGAACGAGUGCCGAGGCCAGCCGUUCCGCCCUUCGCUACCCAUUCGUUCGACCGAGUGACGGUGCGGGUCUGCCAACGGACGAGCGUAACAUUGCCGUUUGGCAGCAAGUUUCCCUAAUGACAGUGGCAAUGGCCGGACUGUCCACUUUUUCACCCCAGGGUCGCUUUGCCGACUGGCGUCUCGCGACCCAGUCGAUCAUCGGCUUCUGGGCUUUCUAUCUCGUCACCGUACUGAUCCGCGGGUUGUUCGACACGGAGGCGGCGUCGGCGAUCGGUUUUCGCACAAUCAAUGCGACGAUAGGACUCACGCUCACCUUCCUGAUCUAUUUAACGAUCCGGCUGUUCGCCCGGGAGGGCAGUAUUCGCCGCAUGGCAAUCGUGGCCGCAGUCGCUGCGCUGCCGGCAGCCGUGCUGAUGUCCGUGGCCAGUCUGCGCAUGACCACCUGGUCAGAUCCGAUCGCUCCGGCGAGCAAGAUCAUGACCCAGGAAGGAGUCGCCAUCGUCCAACGCGGCAACAAUAUUCGGAUCGUCAAGGACGACGGCGACGAACUGGUGAUCAACCUUCCGCCGAUGAAGGACCUGAUUGCCUCCAAAAUGCCCCGGCUGAUCGCGGACGGGACGGUCACCUGGUAUUUCCUGCUCGCCGCCUGGUGCGCCUUCUUCAUCGCCAUGACGCAGCAGCACCGCACGCGGAUCACCGAACUGCGGUUGGCUGAAGCAGAGACCGCCGCCCACGCCGCCCAGGUCCGCGCGCUUCGUUACCAGGUCAAUCCGCACUUCCUGUUCAACACGCUGAACAGCCUGUCCUCGCUGGUCAUGUCGGGCCGCGGCGACAAGGCGGAGGAGAUGCUGAUGGCGCUGUCGACCUUCUUCCGCACCAGCCUGUCGAUCGAUCCGUCGGCCGACGUCAGCCUGGCGGAAGAGAUUGCGCUGCAGCGACUCUAUCUCGACAUCGAGAAGGUCCGUUUUCCGGAACGGCUUGAAGUAGAUAUCGACAUUCCGGAGCAGUUGGAGCAGGCGCGCGUGCCCGCCCUGAUCCUGCAGCCAUUGAUCGAGAAUGCCAUCAAAUAUGGCGUAUCUCAGACUACUGCCCGGGUGAAGCUAUCGAUCCGCGCGCGGCAUUUGGACGGCGGCCGGAUGCAGCUUGAUGUCACCAACCGGUCGCUCGGCCCGACCAAGAAAGUAGCACCUUCGUCGACCCACGCUGGCACCGGGCUCGGCCUGACGAACGUCUGCGAGCGGCUCGAGGCCCAUUUCGGCAAGCGCGCCGAUUGCCGGUUCGGUCCAAUCGAAGGCGGUUA